AUAUAGCCCCUCACACAAACACCUUCUGCAAACUGAAUCACUCCCAGAUCAGUGGACCCAUUCUACUUCAUACCUGCAACCUUGACAUCAGCAUCAAACAAAAUACCACAUUUCUCUUCUCGGGACAGACAUAUCCCUAGUAAAUGUUAUCAUUUAAGUGGGGCAUAUCUCACCAAUGUCUUGUUGAAAAGGAUAAAUGCGCACUAGUCGUGGCAGGGAAAAAUACAAAGACGACUAACACACAGAGAC